CACUGGGUGCAUAUACCUGGCACUGUGGGGGAAUAUCUGGCACUGGGAGCAUAUGUGGCACUGGGAGCACGGCCCUAGCAACAAGCACUACCCACUAGCAACGAGCAUGACACCCAGUGCAUGAAACCCCUGGCAACGAGCAUGACAUCCUGGCACCGUGCAUGGAACCAAGUGCAUGAAACCCCUGGCAACAAGCAGUUGGGCUGACUUCAAGUCUCGGCUGAAGAUCAUAAAGUCUGCACAGUAGAGAGAUCCGAGGGCAACAGGGGGAGGGACACUCCCUGAGACUGUUGAAUUUACGGACUUGGUGGAGAAAGCCUUGGUCUGUGUGUCAUAUGAGGAGAUAGCAGGUGUGUCCAAAAUGGACACCGACAUACCUGCCCUUGAAUGUCCACAUGCCUUGGAAGCACAGGAGGUGCAGCUCACUUAGGCUGAGGAGGGUGCAAGCAGUGACAGCUCCAGUGUGGGGCCAGAAAGCCCUCCAUCCUGGCCACACACUGAGGCACUCCCCCAACCCAGUCUACAGGAGGUCCAAAUUGUGAGGCAAGGAAGAAACACCACCGACUUCCAUGACCAGAUGCUCCUGGAGGUACAUGAGCUGACCUCCAUGGUCCGCGAGCUGUACUUCACUGUGCAACAAGGCAUGUGUGACAUCACCUCCUCUGUGGCGGAAGGCAUGCACGACAUAUCCGCCACUAUUGGCCAAGGCAUGCAGACCAUUGCAUCCCUCCUUGGCCAGAGUCUCAGGGAGGCUACAACGCCUGCCCCAUUCCCUAGCCCUGCCCAGGAACAAGAUCGCACUGGGCAGGCCCCCCGAAGAUCCAUGCACAGACCCAACACAGAAGAACAACCCCUUCAGCCUGGCAAAAAAAGGGGAAAACGGUAAUUUCUAUCCAGAUGCGGUCAUUGUUUCCAGCGCCCAUGUUCUGUUUGCAAAAAUUAAUUUGGUCAAUGGCUUGUGGGACAAGAAUAUCCAACUCACUCCUGCCAAAUGGCGUCUUCUUUUACCUUUUCCUGGCUGUGAUGCAUUAGCCUGUGAACUUGUUCCACCUUCCUCUUCAGUUUGUGGGGCUGAUUGUUGCGUUUGGGUAUUUGGCCCAGAAUCUUCCUCAAAUUGCCGCACAUCUUCCUCAGCUAGGCUACUGAGACCAGCCUCUUGUUGUGUGUGUUGCAGAGAUGGGGGUAACUGACUACUGGGUACCGUAAUACUCUUUUCUGCACAGCCAGGUGCUUGUUGCUGUGCCAUUUUGUGUAGUCUUUUUUUUU